AAAGAUCUAAGAAAAUUUAUUAGUUUUUGUAUCAAAAAAAUUGAAAAAGUUUUUUUAGUUGUAAAAUUCCAAUCGCUUUUAUUAAUAUCUAGUAACUUCAGAAAUAAAUUUAGUUUAGGAUGUGAAGAAUAAUCUUUAUUUUAAAGAAGUUUUAAUUUCAUUCUUAAAUUUUAGGGGAUGAGCUCUAAAAUUAAAAUAUAAGAAUUUAUAUUUAUAAGUUUUUUAUAGGCUUAGAAUUAGCCACUUGAUAGUGUUAUAAAAUAAAAUUUUAAGUUUUAGAUUUAAUUUUCUUUCAUUUAUAUAUGAAGUUUAUUUUUAAAUUUAUAAAAAUAUGAAAAUAUGAUAGCAUUAGUAGAUAAAAUUAUAAUGGAUAAAAUUUAAAUUUUUCUAAAUUUUUUUAAUUUAUAAAAUUUAGUAAAAGAACUCGGCAAAUAAAAUUUCCGAAUGUUUAUCAAAAACAUUUCCUCUUAGAAUAGGAGGUAAGGCCUGCUCACUGAUAAAUUUAAAGAGCCGCAGUAUCCUAACUGUGCUAAGGUAGCAUAAUCAUUAGUCUUUUAAUUGAAGACUGGUAUGAAUGGCUUAACGAGAAAUUGACUUUUUUUACUAUUUAAAUUGAAUUUAAUUUUUUAGUGAAAAAGCUAAAAUGUGUCAGAAAGACGAGAAGACCCU
rnacentral:rRNA from 1 species